rnacentral:rRNA from 1 species
CCCUUAGAUGUUCUGGGCCGCACGCGCGCUACACUGAUGCAUUCAACAAGCCUAGCCUUGACCGAGAGGUCCGGGUAAUCUUUGAAACUGCAUCGUGAUGGGGCUAGAUUAUUGCAAUUAUUAAUCUUCAACGAGGAAUGCCUAGUAAGCGUGAUUCAUCAUAUCGCGUUGAUUACGUCCCUGCCCUUUGUACACACCGCCCGUCGCUCCUACCGAUUGAAUGUGUUGGUGAGGAGCUCGGAUUGGCAGCAGUUGGUGGUUCGCCACCGGCUAUUGCUGAGAAGUCCUCCAAACCGCCCCAUUUAGAGGAAGGAGAAGUCGUAACA